AUUGAACGCUGGCGGCAUGCCUUACACAUGCAAGUCGAACGGCAGCACGGGGGCAACCCUGGUGGCGAGUGGCGAACGGGUGAGUAAUACAUCGGAACGUGCCCAGUCGUGGGGGAUAACUACGCGAAAGCGUAGCUAAUACCGCAUACGAUCUACGGAUGAAAGCGGGGGAUCGCAAGACCUCGCGCGAUUGGAGCGGCCGAUGGCAGAUUAGGUAGUUGGGAGGUAAAGGCUCACCAAGCCUUCGAUCUGUAGCUGGUCUGAGAGGACGACCAGCCACACUGGGACUGAGACACGGCCCAGACUCCUACGGGAGGCAGCAGGUGGGAAUUUUGGACAAUGGGCGCAAGCCUGAUCCAGCAAUGCCGCGUGAGUGAGGAAGGCCUUAGGGUUGUAAAGCUCUUUCGCACGCGACGAUGAUGACGGU
rnacentral:rRNA from 1 species